ACACGCAUUCUACCGAGACACUGUGUUUUGUGGGAAAAUGAUCACCCAGGUGGAAAUCAGAGUGCUCUGGGGAAGUGGGAGUGAAGGCAGCCUUCCAGUAUCCACUACCGAGAGCAAAAACAUGAUCAUAUCAGUGGCAUCAAAGCCCAUGAACACGCUGAAGAUCCAGGAAAGCCUUGGUGUGAACCCCAGUCCAAGUGUGAAGCCAGAAAACAAGGAGCAUCAGUGUCCGAGGGCAGAGGAGGAUGGAGGUCUCAGCUCGAGAAGGAAGAGAGGGUAUUUAGCCUUCCUCUGCCUUUUGUGUUCAGCCCCUCAAUGAGUUGGAUAAUGCCCACCUGUACUGAGUCCAGCUCCCCUGCAGAUUGUAGCCAGCACCCGGAUUUUCAAGGGGUAAAAUUUAUUUGUAAAACAUUUUGAACUCUCUGGAGGCUGGACAUUAAAAGUAAUAAUGUUUAUCUGUUUAAUCUGUGGGCUAGCCACUUGCAGGGUGUUUUGUAACAAAAAGAGCAUAUUGAGUAGGAGGCUUUUUAAACUAGUUCCUAAGAGUAACUCCUACAACUGCUCAGAGUCUCAACUACCCAGCUAGCAAUCUGUGCCUUUUAAAGAACCACUUUGAAGUCCCUUGGUGAUAUUAACAUCACAAGUGAACCUAUAUAUGUAAACAUAUGUUGUU